rnacentral:rRNA from 1 species
GGCUAACCAUGCAGUCGACGGCAGCACAGAAGAGCUUGCUCUUUGGGUGGCGAGUGGCGGACGGGUGAGUAAUGUCUGGGAAACUGCCCGAUGGAGGGGGAUAACUACUGGAAACGGUAGCUAAUACCGCAUAACGUCGCAAGACCAAAGUGGGGGACCUUCGGGCCUCACACCAUCGGAUGUGCCCAGAUGGGAUUAGCUAGUAGGUGGGGUAAUGGCUCACCUAGGCGACGAUCCCUAGCUGGUCUGAGAGGAUGACCAGCCACACUGAAACUGAAACACGGCCCAUACUCCUACGGGAGGCAGCAGUGGGGAAUAUUGCACAAUGGGCCCAAACCUUAUGCACCCAUGCCGCGUGUAUGAAGAAAGCCUUCGGGUUGUAAAGUACUUUC